UACGAAGGGGGCUAGCGUUGCUCGGAAUUACUGGGCGUAAAGGGCGCGUAGGCGGAUACUUAAGUCGGGGGUGAAAGCCCGGGGCUCAACCUCGGAAUUGCCUUCGAUACUGGGUAUCUUGAGUUCGGGAGAGGUGAGUGGAACUGCGAGUGUAGAGGUGAAAUUCGUAGAUAUUCGCAAGAACACCAGUGGCGAAGGCGGCUCACUGGCCCGAUACUGACGCUGAGGCACGAAAGCGUGGGGAGCAAACAGG
rnacentral:rRNA from 1 species